GGAAAGAACUAACAAGGAUUCCCUUAGUAACUGCGAGUGAAGCGGGAAAAGCUCAAAUUUGAAAUCUGGCAGUCUUUUUUUCUCUUCUUUGGCUGUCUGAGUUGUAAUCUAGAGAAGUGCUUACCUGUGCUGGACCAUGUAUAAGUCUCCUGGAAUGGAGCGUCACAGAGGGUGAGAAUCCCGUCUUUGACAUGGACUGCCAGUAUGUUGUGGKGUGCUCUCAAAGAGUCGAGUUGUUUGGGAAUGCAGCUCUAAAUGGGUGGUAAACUCCAUCUAAAGCUAAAUAUUGGCGAGAGACCGAUAGCGAACAAGUACCGUGAGGGAAAGAUGAAAAGGACUUUGGAAAGAGAGUUAAACAGUAUGUGAAAUUGUUGAAAGGGAAACGCUUGAAGUCAGUUAUGUUGGCUGGGGAUCAGCCUGGCUUUUUGCUGGGUGAACUUCCUAGUCUGACAGGCCAACAUCAGUUCUGACUGCUGGAAAAGAGCAAGAGGGAAUGUAGCACCUUUGGGUGUGUUAUAGCCUUUUGUCAUAUGUGGCAGUUGGGACUGAGGGAUGCAGCGUGCCAGGAAUGGCUGGGUUUUGACCACAAUUGCGCUUAGGAUGUUGGCUUUUUUUAAUGGCUUCAAUCGACCCGUCUUGAAACACGGA
rnacentral:rRNA from 1 species